UACGAAGGGGGCGAGCGUUGUUCGGAAUUACUGGGCGUAAAGGGCGCGCAGGCGGCCAUACAAGUCAGAUGUGAAAGCCCCGGGCUCAACCUGGGAAUGGCAUUUGGGACUGUACGGCUAGAGAUCGGGAGAGGUGGGUGGAAUUCCCAGUGUAGAGGUGAAAUUCGUAGAUAUUGGGAAGAACACCGGUGGCGAAGGCGGCUCACUGGACCGAUACUGACGCUGAGGCGCGAAAGCGUGGGGAGCAAACAGG
rnacentral:rRNA from 1 species